rnacentral:tRNA from 1 species
GGAGAGAUGACCGAGUGGUUGAAGGUGCACGCCUGGAAAGCGUGUGUGUCCUAACCGGGCACCGAGGGUUCGAAUCCCUCUCUCUCCG